AUUGAACCACCAGUUUCCGUACGAUCACUAAAGUUAAGCAAAGUUGAGUCUGGUCACUACCUAAAUAGGUGAACACUUGGGAAUAUCAGGUGCUGUAG